rnacentral:misc_RNA from 1 species
CACUUUACUUUUUCCCCCACUUUCGUCCCUCUGCUUAUAUCUCUAAGCUCUCUCUCUCUUUUUGCUAUCUCACACACAGCUCUGGCACUGCGAUUUUGAUAAACAGGGACUGAGGAAAUGGUGGUGUUCAAGGUUUCGCGAGUGGGGACUAAGCCCAUCGAUGGCCAGAAACCGGGAACUUCUGGCCUUCGCAAGAAGGUGAAAGUUUUCAU